AUUGAACGCUGGCGGCAGGCCUAACACAUGCAAGUCGAGCGGUAACAGGAGAAAGCUUGCUUUCUUGCUGACGAGCGGCGGACGGGUGAGUAAUGUAUGGGGAUCUGCCCGAUAGAGGGGGAUAACUACUGGAAACGGUGGCUAAUACCGCAUAAUGUCUACGGACCAAAGCAGGGGCUCUUCGGACCUUGCACUAUCGGAUGAACCCAUAUGGGAUUAGCUAGUAGGUGGGGUAAAGGCUCACCUAGGCGACGAUCUCUAGCUGGUCUGAGAGGAUGAUCAGCCACACUGGGACUGAGACACGGCCCAGACUCCUACGGGAGGCAGCAGUGGGGAAUAUUGCACAAUGGGCGCAAGCCUGAUGCAGCCAUGCCGCGUGUAUGAAGAAGGCCUUAGGGUUGUAAAGUACUUUCAGCGGGGAGGAAGGUGAUAAGGUUAAUACCCUUGUCAAUUGACGUUACCCGCAGAAGAGCACC
rnacentral:rRNA from 1 species